GUAAAACUGCCACCAAUGACCAGCCAUCUGAAUGCUUGUUCAGCAGCAAACUCCAAUUUUUAGUGCCUUAACUGUAAACCUCAAGUGGUUGCUAGGCUUAGGGGCCCUCCAACCUCAACUAAAAGAGUAGCAUUUAUGCAUUAUAUACCAGGUCGACGGUGAGGUGCGGUAGUUAAUUAGUUAAACUCUCCUGCUUAAUUUAGAUAAAGAAUAUUUUUUCAAUAAUAGACGUGUCGAGUCAGAUAAUAGACCAGGGGCCUAAAUCAAUGAUACACAAUUUUGCAACUAUGCUAAUAACAGGCCCCGGGAAGAACAUUUGUAAUACAUAUCUACGUAUAUGGUCAAAAAUGAUGACUCGCCCAUUUACUCACCUUUAGUUUUCACUUUCAGCAAUUAUUUGUUUAGGUACUUGUGGAAUUCAAUAAUAUUAAAUAGCAAACAUGUACUUAAAACAGGUAGACAUUAACCGCAGUAGGUACUCGCCGCAGCUAUUCAGCGCCUAAGUAAUGAAUUUCAAAUCAAUCUUUUAUUGAAACGUGUUGUGUGUAACGGUUACAAGGUCUCUCAUGAAACGUGUAUUCAAAGGAAGGUCCGGUCCAGGCGACCACCUCGUGCAGUUUAUAUUAGGCACAUUUCAAUAAGAGGCCAUAAACAAAGCAAUUUGUUGGCGGUGACAGAAGCGGCGCGGGCGCACGCCUGACGUCCACGCCCGCUAUGGUGACCACGAAGCAGUCUGCAAACUAGCCGUGACUCGGCAAAACUAGACAAAAAGCGUUUUAUUUUAACACUUACCGACACAAUAAAAAUAAGAAACAGUUUCAAUGCUAAAAUAAUAAAAACGUUGUCUUACUUCAAUAUUAACGAGUGUUUAGUAAGUUACUAAGCAGACACCGUCAAUUUAACUUAGUAGUAAAGACAUCGUGAGCGAUAUUACAUAAGUAGGAGCAGGUACAUGUAUAAUAAGCUACCCACACUGAUUACAUUGUAAUGUUUUUAAGAAAAAAAUCUAUUCAAUGUCAGCAAAAAACAAAGAAGUACUAAAAAAGGCAGUCUUUUAAAUCAAUUCACAGUUUCAUAAUAUGAAUACAUAUAUUGAAUUCUUGUGAAGUACACGCGUAGCAAAUUGUUACAAAAAACAAAUAUAGCAAGAUUAAGCAAUGUCUAUGUAUAAGAAAUGUUCACAACAUCACACGUACCUAGUGAAUGGGUCGUACAGAAAUGUCACCCUAUGCGUAGACCGUAACCGUUGCUUCCUGCGGUCAAACUCAAUUAAAACUCAUUGCAGGGGCGUGCGAACCAAGCGCGUCCGCCGCGAGCCGAGCGUGCGCCCGCGCAGCCGCGCUCGAGGUCCCCGCGCAUGGCGCCCGCACUCUUAACCCCACAGGAAACACUCCUUGCCUAACUCCUAAUCUUAGGUCAAUAAACCUAGGGCUCGCAUCGUCUCCGUAUGAUGAACACAGAUGAUACACAACUGAUAACGAUCACCGUGAUAUUACAAUCAGUCCCGGUAAUAUAGGAAGUCUUAUCAGUUCCAACGGAGGUUUGCUCGAUAUGGUACACGCGUAUGGGUUACACGAGAUUUAUAUCAUCGGUUAUUGAUUCGUCGGCUAUAGACUGUGAAGCAUUAAAAUUAUAGUUAUCAACUUUUUAAUUAAAUGUUCGUCAUUAUGCCGCACGCCUUAAGCAUAAAGAUUGACGGACAGAUGAUCGGCAUUAUUGAUCGAUUGCACCUACGAGCCAUAUUUUAAUUAAACUUCUUUAUACCCAUUUAAGUUCACAAUGUCCCGUUUAUCUAGGAGUACGUGAGCACGACGGUCGUGCGCCAGUAACGUGUGAACUUUAAUACCGAUAUCACACUAGUUGGCACUAGCAUGAUGCCAUGACGGCACGUCAAGUAUUGCUACGGUAUUUUCUCCUGCAAUGUUGCCUUGAAGAAAUACGCCGACGACCAAAUCAAUAUCAUAAAUCGAAGUGCACCACGGUGCGGAGACAUUCUCAGACAUUCUGCUACGUCUCGUAGUCCAGUUUGCUGUAUGUUUAAGGAGAAUCAACAAUUAAUCGCUCUUAAUUAAUUACCUCGCACGAAUUAUCUUAUAGAGACUUAAUUUUUUGCGAGAUUCGCAGCAACAGACAGAUGAAAACGCACCCAAAUACAGUAACAUUUACAUUCCACUGCAAAUAGCUAGCGAUAUUUAAUGUAAUUUAGCACACUUCGUAUGAAAAUGCCACGGUGAACAGCAUUGGUCAGUUUCCCAAGUUAAACAUCACUUUUGUUUUUAUCGAUGACAUUGUGAACUCGCUCUGUUUCUUAGUAAUUCUUUGUCACAUUUGUCUAUCGUUAUAUUAAAAAGUUUAUUGAAACGAAACAAUAAUAUCUUUACUAUGUUUUUGUGUGCGUCUUCUGGGAAGGGUAAAACGAAAGAGCCUGAUUUAAAACAUUAGGGUGGAUGGUUUAUGUUAAGUGAACCCCCUGAGCGAACCGAACCGUAGGUACCCAUCGUUUUAUCUUAUGUUAUGUCAUAGUUUACAAAAGAGUUUCAUAUUGUCACAACACUGGGACCUUCACAAAACUUAGCUUCAUGCAGGGUGUGCCCAUCAAUAAAAACUUUAAAUAACAAAUGAUGCAAACAGAUGACUUCAAGCCCAAAAAUAUUAUUUUCUUAUAUCUAUGACUUCAACAAAUCUGUGUACACUAGUAAUUAUAAUUGUAUGGACCGGAUUUCGUAAGGCUACGCGAUUCACAUGGUUAUAACGAAGUCGUUGACUAGAGGCGAGUGUGUGGCUGUGUGAUGCGAGUACAGACUCGGGGCGAGAACGUGGGGCCCGCCGGUUGUCUGCCAAGCAACGCCUCAAGGCCCGCGAGUCAUUGCCACGUUGCGAAUUCGCAAAUACUUCACCAUCUCCGUCCGCCUAGCCACCAGCCUGAACAACAUGCUAUGCCAGUAUAUCACUAUACUCUAUAGGACUCAAACAUAACAUGAUACUGCCGUGCCCGCUCUAGCACAUUUAAAUACUUAUUCAUACUUUAUUCUGAAUCGAAAUCGACGAAUAACUCAGACUAUAAAUAACCAUACAAAACAAUCAUUUAGAAGUAAGCUAAACUUUUUGUGAUAGCACUGUGCGCGUAGAGCAUGAACCUUCCAAUAAAAACUUCAAAUCCACUUCCAUGAAUGCUAAAAUCUCUAUUUUUGUAACAGCGAACGUGCAGACCCACUUAGCGGUAAGAACUAUGCAGGCACUACUUGCCUAGGCUGAAUGUAAUCUAACUUUCAAAAUAAAGUGUUAAUGUUAACAAA